rnacentral:rRNA from 1 species
AAGAUGGCUUUGCGGUGCAUUAGCUAGUUGGUAGGGUAAAGGCCUACCAAGGCGACGAUGUCUAGGGGACCUGAGAGGGUGAUCCCCCACACUGGCACUGAGAUACGGGCCAGACUCCUACGGGAGGCAGCAGUAGGGGAUAUUGGGCAAUGGACGAGAGUCUGACCCAGCCAUGCCGCGUGCCGGAUGAAGGCCUUCUGGGUUGUAAACGGCUUUUCUCAGGGAAGAAAACGGGUAUGCGUACCACACUGACGGUACCUGAGGAAUAAGCACCGGCUAACUCCGUGCCAGCAGCCGCGGUAAUACGGAGGGUGCAAGCGUUGUCCGGAUUUAUUGGGUUUAAAGGGUGCGUAGGCGGCCCGUUAAGUCCGGGGUGAAAGCCCACUGCUCAACAGUGGAACUGCCCUGGAUACUGGCGGGCUUGAGUCCAGACGAGGUUGGCGGAAUGGAUGCUGUAGCGGUGAAAUGCAUAGAUAGCAUCCAGAACCCCGAUUGCGAAGGCAGCUGACUAGGCUGGUACUGACGCUGAGGCACGAAAGCGUGGGGAGCGAACAGGAUUAGAUACCCUGGUAGUCCACGCCGUAAACGAUGGAUACUCGCUGGUGGCGAUAGACAGUCACUGGCUUAGGG